GACGAACGCUGGCGGCGUGCUUAACACAUGCAAGUCGAACGGAAAGGCCCUGCUUUUGUGGGGUGCUCGAGUGGCGAACGGGUGAGUAACACGUGAGUAACCUGCCCUUGACUUUGGGAUAACUUCAGGAAACUGGGGCUAAUACCGGAUAGGAGCUCCUGCUGCAUGGUGGGGGUUGGAAAGUUUCGGCGGUUGGGGAUGGACUCGCGGCUUAUCAGCUUGUUGGUGGGGUAGUGGCUUACCAAGGCUUUGACGGGUAGCCGGCCUGAGAGGGUGACCGGCCACAUUGGGACUGAGAUACGGCCCAGACUCCUACGGGAGGCAGCAGUGGGGAAUAUUGCACAAUGGGCGGAAGCCUGAUGCAGCAACGCCGCGUGCGGGAUGACGGCCUUCGGGUUGUAAACCGCUUUCGCCUGUGACGAAGCGUGAGUGACGGUAAUGGGUAAAGAAGCACCGGCUAACUACGUGCCAGCAGCCGCGGUGAUACGUAGGGUGCGAGCGUUGUCCGGAUUUAUUGGGCGUAAAGGGCUCGUAGGUGGUUGAUCGCGUCGGAAGUGUAAUCUUGGGGCUUAACCCUGAGCGUGCUUUCGAUACGGGUUGACUUGAGGAAGGUAGGGGAGAAUGGAAUUCCUGGUGGAGCGGUGGAAUGCGCAGAUAUCAGGAGGAACACCAGUGGCGAAGGCGGUUCUCUGGGCCUUUCCUGACGCUGAGGAGCGAAAGCGUGGGGAGCGAACAGGCUUAGAUACCCUGGUAGUCCACGCUGUAAACGGUGGGUACUAGGUGUGGGGUCCAUUCCACGGGUUCCGUGCCGUAGCUAACGCUUUAAGUACCCCGCCUGGGGAGUACGGCCGCAAGGCUAAAACUCAAAGGAAUUGACGGGGCCCCGCACAAGCGGCGGAGCAUGCGGAUUAAUUCGAUGCAACGCGUAGAACCUUACCUGGGUUUGACAUGGAUCGGGAGUGCUCAGAGAUGGGUGUGCCUCUUUUGGGGUCGGUUCACAGGUGGUGCAUGCCUGUCGUCAGCUCGUGUCGUGAGAUGUUGGGUUAAGUCCCGCAACGAGUGCAACCCUUGUUCACUGUUGCCAGCACGUUAUGGUGGGGACUCAGUGGAGACCGCCGGGGUCAACUCGGAGGAAGGUGGGGAUGACGUCAAGUCAUCAUGCCCCUUAUGUCCAGGGCUUCACGCAUGCUACAAUGGCUGGUACAGAGAGUGGCGAGCCUGUGAGGGUGAGCGAAUCUCGGAAAGCCGGUCUCAGUUCGGAUUGGGGUCUGCAACUCGACCUCAUGAAGUCGGAGUCGCUAGUAAUCGCAGAUCAGCAACGCUGCGGUGAAUACGUUCCCGGG
rnacentral:rRNA from 1 species